CAGGCGUCUGGGGUAGGAGUCGCUGCUAUCAGCCCCACUGAUGAGGCAGUGACUCCGAGACGAAACGCAUA
rnacentral:hammerhead_ribozyme from 17 species